ACACCUCAACUCUUCAUGGUUUUCCAUGAUGAGCUUGGACUUUGGGGGCCUUGCCGGCCUAGUGUCGGCUCCUCUCAAAUGAAUCAGCUUACCAGUGUUUGGUGGGCAUCACAGGUGUGAUAACUAUCUGCGCUUGUGGUUUUCCACCAAGUAACCUUCAGCAGUGGAGGUUCACUGGAGCUCACAGACGUCUCUCCUCAGUGAGGACAGCCCUUUGAAU
rnacentral:misc_RNA from 1 species